rnacentral:rRNA from 1 species
CGCGUAGGUGGUUUGUUUAGCGAGAUGUGAAAGCCCCGGGCUUAACCUGGGAACGGCAUUUCGAACUGGCAAGCUAGAGUGUGGUAGAGGGUAGUGGAAUUUCCUGUGUAGCGGUGAAAUGCGUAGAUAUAGGAAGGAACACCAGUGGCGAAGGCGGCUACCUGGACCAACACUGACACUGAGGUGCGAAAGCGUGGGGAGCAAACA